AUACGGAGGUUGCAAGCGUUGUUCGGAAUUAUUGGGCGUAAAGAGCAUGUAGGCGGACUGUUAAGUCUGGUGUGAAAGCCCGGGGCUCAACCCCGGAAGUGCAUUGGAUACUGGCAGUCUUGAGUAUGGGAGAGGAAAGUGGAAUUCCGAGUGUAGGAGUGAAAUCCGUAGAUAUUCGGAGGAACACCAGUGGCGAAGGCGGCUUUCUGGACCAAUACUGACGCUGAGAUGCGAAAGCGUGGGGAGCGAACAGGAUUAGAUACCCUUGUAGUCC
rnacentral:rRNA from 1 species